UACGGAUAAACAAUGGAUAUAUUUCCCCUUUGAUGAUAAUCGAAUGUUCUGUAUACCAUCAGCAAACGAGUUUUUCUCCAAGACGGUAUGUUUCGUCUGGUUUUACGACUGCAAAAUGUAGCAAUUAUCAUGGUUUUAGACCGUAAUAAAGUUAUCAACCUGAUUCCGAAUGUUCUUCUCUACUGGAUAUAUAACUGAAGCCAUUUCUUAAGAUACUUCUAUACGUCUUUAUAUUGUAAGUUUAGAUAUUUC
rnacentral:lncRNA from 1 species